AACGAACGCUGGCGGCAUGCCUAACACAUGCAAGUCGAACGAGACCUUCGGGUCUAGUGGCGCACGGGUGCGUAACGCGUGGGAACCUGCCCUUAGGUUCGGAAUAACUCCCCGAAAGGGGUGCUAAUACCGGAUAAUGUCUUCGGACCAAAGAUUUAUCGCCCUUGGAUGGGCCCGCGUUGGAUUAGCUAGUUGGUAGGGUAAAAGCCUACCAAGGCGACGAUCCAUAGCUGGUCUGAGAGGAUGAUCAGCCACACUGGGACUGAGACACGGCCCAGAAUCCUACGGGAGGCAGGAGUGGGGAAUAUUGGACAAUGGGCGAAAGCCUGAUCCAGCAAUGCCGCGUGAGUGAUGAAGGCCUUAGGGUUGUAAAGCUCUUUUACCCGGGAUGAUAAUGACAGUACCGGGAGAAUAAGCUCCGGCUAACUCCGUG
rnacentral:rRNA from 1 species